UGACGGCAAUAGCGCCGUGGAACCACCUGAUCCCAUGCCGAACUCAGAAGUGAAACGCGGUAGCGCCGAUGGUAGUGUGGCAUUCGCCAUGCGAGAGUAGGACACUGUC
rnacentral:rRNA from 6 species